rnacentral:rRNA from 1 species
UACGUAGGGUGCGAGCGUUAAUCGGAAUUACUGGGCGUAAAGCGUGCGCAGGCGGUAAGUUAAGUCUGAUGUGAAAGCCCCGGGCUCAACCUGGGAACGGCAUUGGAAACUGGCUUGCUGGAGUGUGGCAGAGGGGGGUGGAAUUCCGCGUGUAGCAGUGAAAUGCGUAGAGAUGCGGAGGAACACCGAUGGCGAAGGCAGCCCCCUGGGCCAACACUGACGCUCAGGCACGAAAGCGUGGGUAGCGAACAGG